rnacentral:rRNA from 1 species
CCUACGGUGGCAGCAGUGGGGAAUAUUGGACAAUGGGCGAAAGCCUGAUCCAGCCAUGCCGCGUGUGUGAAGAAGGCCUUCGGGUUGUAAAGCACUUUCAGUGGGGAAGAAAGCCUUGGGGCUAAUACCCUCGAGGAAGGACAUCACCCACAGAAGAAGCACCGGCUAACUCCGUGCCAGCAGCCGCGGUAAUACGGAGGGUGCGAGCGUUAAUCGGAAUUACUGGGCGUAAAGCGCGCGUAGGCGGUCUGAUAAGCCGGUUGUGAAAGCCCCGGGCUCAACCUGGGAACGGCAUCCGGAACUGUCAGGAUAGAGUGCAGGAGAGGAAGGUAGAAUUCCCGGUGUAGCGGUGAAAUGCGUAGAGAUCGGGAGGAAUACCAGUGGCGAAGGCGGCCUUCUGGACUGACACUGACGCUGAGGUGCGAAAGCGUGGGUAGCAAACAGGAUUAGAUACCCCAGUAGUC